CCGAUUCGUCGAUCAGCCAGAAAAGUGAAGCCACCUGAAAGAUUAGACUUAUGAACAUUUUCUGUAGAGCCAUAUCAUUGUUUUUACACAGUACUGUAUUCGUGAAAGUUGAGUUAUGUUAUAUGUCACGAUAGAUGGCAGCACUGGUCCGACAGUGAUGCACGUGUGGUUCUGCUGAGUAAACGUACUUGGCACAUACUCUACGAGUUCUUUAUCUAAUUGCGUAUCCGUAGUACGAAACUACGACAGCUUCGAACUGUUAUAGUUGAAAACUUAACGACUUUUUGAGCGAUCGACAUAUCUACUAGUAGCAGUAGUACUAGAAUUUGUAUUGAGAGUCAUCGCCGUCUCGGUGUAAGCGCGAACGUCCAGAAAAAUUAAGCAAUCCCCCCUGCUAGGUUUUGAUCUAACGACGGCAUUUCAUGGGCUCUUCUGCAAUGCUUUCAAUCUAAAGUGUACCCCUAUGAAAUAAAGAAAACUAAUAUGAAUUUUUAAAGCC